rnacentral:rRNA from 1 species
AUUGAACGCUGGCGGCAGGCUUAACACAUGCAAGUCGAACGAGUGGCGGACGGGUGAGUAAUGCAUGGGAAUCUAGCUUAUGGAGCGGGAUAACUACGGGAAAAUGUAGCUAAUACCGCGUACCAUAGGAUGAGCCCAAGGGGGAUUAGGUAGUUGGUGAGGUAAAGGCUCACCAAGCCGACGAUUGCUAGCUGGUCUGAGAGGAUGACCGGCCACACGUGGACUGAGAAACGGCCCAGACUCCGACGGUAGGCAGCAGUGGGGAAUAUUGCGCAAUGGGGGCAACCUGACGCAGCCAUGCCGCGUGAAUGAAGAAGGCCUUCGGGUUGUAAAGUUCUUUCGGUAGCGAGGCGUUAACUACAGAAGAAGCACCGGCUAACUCCGUGCCAGCAGCCGCGGUAAUUC